GACGAACGCUGGCGGCGUGCUUAACACAUGCAAGUCGAGCGGAGCGGCGAACGGGUGAGUAACGCGUGAGUAACUGCCCCCCUCCCUGGGAUAACAGGUGGAAACGGCGGCUAAUACCGGAUAGUGGGGGAUGACUUGCGUCCUAUCAGCAUGUUGGGGGGGUAGUGGCCUACCAAGGCGACGGCGGGUAGCCGGCCUGCGAGGGCGACCGGCCACCAUGGGCUGAGAUACGGCCCAAACGCCUACGGGGGGCAUCAGUGGGGAGUAUGGCACAGUGGGGGAAACCCUGAUGCAGCAGCGCCGCGUGCGGGAUGACGGCCUUCGGGUUGUAAACCGCUUUAAGCCAUGACGCGGUAGUGGCAGAAGAAGCACCGGCUAACUACGUGCCAGCAGCCGCGGUAAUUC
rnacentral:rRNA from 1 species